rnacentral:lncRNA from 1 species
AGAGCUUUCCGAUUGAAGAGACGGGAUCGGGUUCCUUGCCUUGUUAUGGUUCCUGCGGGAAGGCCUCACUCAUCAGGUAAGGGCAGAAGAGGGGAUCGAUGAGGAAGAUCUACUUCUAAUGAGCCUGUGUCAGUGGUUGGACAAUUGACACCAGUAGUUGGGACAGUGGAAGUGGAAGUGCAAUCCCAAUCUGUCGAAUCCACUGAAGAAGCCUCGGUGGGGCAGCGCAUUUUUACUGUCUAAGGGCUCAAGUUAGGUUGGCAAUCUGAAGUUACGACG